CCACGUGUGUGAGUUACCACAAUGGAAGUCAAAGGGGAAAAAAAAUUCACAGGAAAGAGUACAAAGGCAUCACAAGAAAAAAACAAAUUUCAUAAAAACAAUGAUUCUGGUUUUUUAAGGACAUUCCCAAGAAAAGGUGCUAAGGAAGGUGGAUCUAAAAUUACAUCUAAGAACUUUGAGAAAAGUACCACAAAACCUGGGGAAAAGGGUCUGAAGCAGUUCAAGAACAAGCAACCAGGAGACAAAGCGCCAAAGAACAAAUUCCAGCCGGCAAAUAAAUUCAGCAAGAAGAGAAAAUUCCAGCCAGAUAGCAAAAGUGAUGCAUCAGCAAUCAAGAAACCCAAAUGGGAUGACUUCAAAAAGAAGAAGAAAGAACUGAAGCAGAAUAGGCAACUCAGCAAUAAGACCAACUGUGACGUUGUUGUUCGAGCAAAGCAGAUCUGGGAGAUUUUAAGAAGAAAAGACUGUGUGACAAAGAGAAAAAAGUAAAGUUAAUGAAUGACUUGCAGAAGUUGAUCCAAGGGAAAAUUAAAACUAUUGCAUUUGCACAUGAUUCAACUCGUGUGAUCCAAUGUUACAUUCAGUAUGGUAAUGAAGAACAGAGAAAACAGGCCUUCAAAGAAUUGUGAGAUGAUUUGGUUGAAUUAAGUAAAGCCAAAUAUUCCAGAAAUGUUGUUAAGAAAUUUCUCAUGUAUGGAAGUAAACCAGAUUGCAGAGAUAAUCCGAAGCUUUAAAGGCCAUGUGAGGAAGCUGCCGCGGCAUGCGGAAGCCUCAGCCAUCGUGGAGUACGCAUACAAUGACAAAGCCAUUUUGGAGCAGAGGAUCAUGCUGACGGAAGAGCUCUACGGGAACACAUUCCAGCUGUCCAAGACAGCAGAUCACCCAACUCUGGAAAAAGUAUUAGAGGUGCAGCCAGAAAAAUCAGAGCUCAUUAUGGAUGAAAUGAAACAGAUUCUAACUCCAAUGGCACAAAAGGAAGCUGUGAUUAAGCACUCAUUGGAGCAUAAAGUAUUCUUGGAUUUUUUUACCUAUGCGCCCCCCAAACUCAGAUCAGAAACGAUUGAAGCCAUCCGCGAACCAGUGGUAUACCUGGCGCACACACACGAUGGCGCCAGAAUGGCCAUGCACUGCAGGGCUCACCCAAGAACAGGAAAGUGAUUAUGAAAACAAUGAAGACUUACGUUGAAAAACUGGCUAAUGGCCAACACUCCCAUUUAGUUUUACUGGCGGCUUUUGAUUGCAUUGAUGACACCAAGCCUGUGAAGCAGAUUAUCAUAUCAGAAAUCAUCAGUUCCUUGCCUAACAUAGUAAAUGAUAAAUAUGAAAGGAAGGUCCUAAUGUAUUUGCUAAGCCCCAGAGAUCCUGCACAUACAGUGCGAGAAAUCAUUGAAGUUCUACAAAAGGGAGAUGGAAAUGCACACAGUAAGAAAGACACAGAGAUCCGCUGACGGGAGCUCUCGGAAUCCAUUUCUCCAGUUUUGCUAAACUACCUGCAAGGGCAUGCCCAGGAGAUGGUUCUAGACAAGUCUGCGUGUGUGUUGGUGUCCACCACUCUGGGAUCUGCCACGAAUGCCAUCGCCAGCUUGGCAGCAGCAGAACUACAUCCUGGUGGCAAGGAUGGAGAGCUUCACGUUGCAGAGCAUCCUGCAGGACAUCUAGUUCUGAAGUGGCUCAUAGAGCAAGAUGAGAAGAUGAAAGAGAGUGGGACAGAAGGUUGUUUUGCAAAAACACUUGUAGAGCAUGUUGGUAUGAAGAACCUAAAGUCCUGGGCCAGUGUAAAUCGAGGUGCCAUUAUUCUCUCCAGCCUUCUUCAGAGUUCUGACCCAGAAAUUGCAAACAAAGUCAAAGCUGGACUAAAGAGCCUGGUUCCCACUCUGGAAAAAAACAAAAACACCAGCAAAAAAGAGUUAAACGCAGGAUGGGAUGAUUUUUCCUGUUCAACACGGAAGAGAAUGGCAAGGGUUCGGCAGCAGCAGAGAAGGGCUGAGGUUCACCUCACUAAUAAUUUGGGUGCUCUGGAAGACUUGGAGCAUCCCGAAAGAAAAUCCAGCCUCGGAGUGGUUGCAUACAUUGAAGUCAUCUCUUGCCACCAUCUGCCCAGGAAAGUUAUCCCGCUAAUAUUGGACUUUCACAUGGAGGUCUUUUCCACAUCUUACUGGGAACUCUUCACACUGGCUGGAACUGUCUGCAUUUAUUCUAACAACUGCUAUAAGAAAGAAAGGCAACACUUCCAUUCUACAGGGUGA